UGGGGAAUUUUGCACAAUGGGGGAAACCCUGAUGCAGCGACGCCGCGUGAUUUAGAAGGCCUUCGGGUUGUAAAAAUCUGUUCUAUGGGAAGAAAAUGACAGUACCAUAGGAAUAAGGACCGGCUAAUUACGUGCCAGCAGCCGCGGUAAUACGUAAGGUCCGAGCGUUGUCCGGAAUCAUUGGGCGUAAAGGGUACGUAGGCGGGUAAGCAAGUUAGAAGUGAAAUCCUAAAGCUCAACUAUAGUAAGCUUUUAAAACUGCUCAUCUUGAGGUAUGGAAGGGAACGUGGAAUUCCUAGUGUAGCGGUGAAAUGCGCAGAUAUUAGGCGGAAUACCGGUGGCGAAGACGACUUUCUGGCCAUAACCUGCCGCUGAGGUACGAAAGCGUGGGUAGCAAACAGG
rnacentral:rRNA from 1 species